rnacentral:rRNA from 1 species
UAGUCUGCAACUCGACUACAUGAAGCUGGAAUCGCUAGUAAUCGCGAAUCAGAAUGUCGCGGUGAAUACGUUCCCGGGUCUUGUACACACCGCCCGUCACACCAUGGGAGUCAGUAACGCCCGAAGUCAGUGACCCAACCAGAGAUGGAGGGAGCUGCCGAAGGCGGGACCGAUAACUGGGGUGAAGUCGUAACAAGGUACC